rnacentral:rRNA from 1 species
CAGCAGCCACGGUAAUACGUAGGGUGCAAGCGUUAAUCGGAAUUACUGGGCGUAAAGCGUGCGUAGGCGGCUUUUUAAGUCGGAUGUGAAAUCCCUGAGCUUAACUUAGGAAUUGCAUUCGAUACUGGGAAGCUAGAGUAUGGGAGAGGAUGGUAGAAUUCCAGGUGUAGCGGUGAAAUGCGUAGAGAUCUGGAGGAAUACCGAUGGCGAAGGCAGCCAUCUGGCCUAAUACUGACGCUGAGGUACGAAAGCAUGGGGAGCAAACAGGAUUAGAGACCCCGGUAGUCCCUGUCUCUUAUAC